rnacentral:rRNA from 1 species
UACGUAGGGGGCUAGCGUUGCUCGGAAUUACUGGGCGUAAAGGGCGCGUAGGCGGAUAUUUAAGUCGGGGGUGAAAGCCCAGGGCUCAACCCUGGAACAGCCUUCGAUACUGGAUAUCUUGAGUACGGGAGAGGUGAGUGGAACUCCGAGUGUAGAGGUGAAAUUCGUAGAUAUUCGGAAGAACACCAGUGGCGAAGGCGACUCACUGGCCCGUUACUGACGCUGAGGCGCGAAAGCGUGGGGAGCAAACAGG